GGCUGCCUGACGUGGGUCCCUUGCUUCCCAGUGGUGCUGGAGGAUUUUGAGGCUGGGGCCGCGGCUCACUAGGCUAAUCCUCCGCCUUGCGGCGCCGGCACACCGGGUUCUAGUCCCGGUCGGGGCGCCGGAUUCUGUCCCGGUUGCCCCUCUUCCAGGCCAGCUCUCUGCUGUGGCCAGGGAGUGCAGUGGAGGAUGGCCCAAGUCCUUGGGCCCUGCACCCCAUGGGAGACCAGGAAAAGCACCUGGCUCCUGCCUUCAGAUCAGCGUGGUGCGCCGGCCGCAGCGCGCCGGCCAUUGGAGGGUGAACCAACGGCAAAAGGAAGACCUUUCUCUCUAUCUCUCUCUCUCACUGUCCAUUCUGCCGGUCAAAAAUUAAAAAAAAAAAAAAAGCACAUAUAGAAUCUGGGAAGGUUGAUGUAUAUCUUACACUGUACAGAUAUAAGAAUUAAUAUUUGUUUUAAUUAUAUCAUUUAAAAAUAAAUUUUAGAUUUCCUGUUGGGUCAAAUUAUGCACUUUUCAGAAAUGUAUACAUAUAUACAACUGUAAUUUAUACAUUUUAUAUUUUCCUCCUUUAUCUAGAUUUUUAAAAAUAUUUAUUAGGUUCAGCACUGUGGCAUAGUAGGUAAAAGCCUCGACCUGCAUUGCCAGCAUCCCAUAUGGCCACCAGUUCAUAUCCUGGCUGUUCUACUUCCAAACCAGCUCCCUGCUAAUGUGCCUGGAAAUGCAGAAGAAAAUGGCCCACGUCCUUGGGCUCCUGCACCCAUGUGGGAGACGCAGAAUAAGUUCCUGGAAUCUGGUUUUAGAUUAGCCCAGCUCUGCUCUUGUGGCCAAUUGAGAGGGAACAAGUGGAUCUUCAAAAAUCUUCUUAAAAGAUUUAUUUAUUUAUUUGAAGGGCAGAAAUAUUCCAAUAAUCAGUUCACUCCCCAGAAUGGCCAGGGAUGGGCCAGGCUGAAGCCAGGAACUUUCCCUGGGUCUCCCUUAUGGGUGUCAGAGGUCCACACAACUGGGCCAUCUUUUGCCACUUUCUUACAUGAAAUAACAGGGAGCUGAACCCUAUAUGAGCACCGAUUCUAGUUCCGGCUGCUCCUCUUCUGAUCCAGCUCUCUGCUAUGGCCUGGGAAAGCAGUAGAAGAUGGUCUAAGUGCUUGGGCCCCUGCGCCUGCGUGGGAGACCUGGAGGUGGCUCCUGGCUCAUGGCGUCAGAUUGGCACAGCUCCGGCCAUUGUGGCCAUCUGGGGAGUGAACUAGCAGAUGGAGGACUUCUCUCUCAGUCUCUACCUUUCAAAUAAAUAAAAUAAAUCUUAAAUAAAAAAAAAGUGGAGCAAAUGGGACACAAACUGGCACACAUGUGGGCUGACAGCAAUGCAGGUAUCAGCUUAACCCACUGUGCUACAAAGUGAGCCCAAUCUAGGUUUUUGUAGUAGCUUUCCUUUAUUUAAUCUUUCGCCUUUUUUUCCAUUCUGGUUUCUGAACUCCAUUACAGUGUAUGUGAUAUCCAAAAGUAUGAGGCACAUAACAGUAAUAUCCAUACUUCACAUUAAUACAGACAAGUCUACAUGAGAGUACAGAAAUGUUCCAAAUUCAAUUCCACAUAAAAUGUGACUUUACUUCUGCAUGAUAUAUUCUAUACUUAUUUGUAAUAUGGCUGUUAAUUCAUGAGAAAAUGUGUGUAGCAUGUCUACUGACUGAAUAUGUUGAAUUCAGGGAGCAGGACUUCAGUGCAUGGAGGAAAACUGACAUUCAUGUUUUCUUUCUGAUUUUAUGGAACAUAUUAAGGAAUCAAUUUGUUAGUAAGCAAAAUAUGAUCAGACAACAUUGACUGGUAACUCAAUGCAUAUUUCCAUUAGUGAUGAGUAGCUCAAGACUAACCUCAAAUCUUAGUCCUUGUGGGGUCCUGAAUUAGUCAGUUUCACUCUGUGGUCAUCACUCUCUUUAUAUCACAAGGACUAUAUUUUUCAUUUUUCAUUCAGUUCUAAUCAAGUAUUAGAACUCCUCUUUUUGACUAAGUGCUUGAAAUUAUAAAUGCCAGUCAUUACUUAGAAGCGAUAUUUAAGACCUGGAGAGAGGAAGCGAGUGUAAAGUGCCAAUCAACAACAGUUGUGUGUGGCCUUCCCACUUUGUCUGUUCUCAGGGAUCCACACAGAAUCUUCAUCUGCAAGUCCAAAAUGAGCAACUCCUGCUGUCAGAGAUGUGAUGCUCUCACAGAAGACCAGUGUGUGACUCCAGGUGUACGGAAUGGGGUUCUAAAAGUCCUGUGGACAGUCUGCCUCAUCCAAGAUGACUGUGGGAUGCAGAUGGGUGUUCAGACCAUUUGAGCUGAAAUGUGGAUGAGGUGAAUGAGAUGGUGGCAUUUGAAGACCUGGUGGUGUAUUUCACCCGGGAGGAAUGGGAGGCCAUGACCCAUGCACAGAAGAUCCUGUACAGGGAGGUGAUGCUGGAGAUCUACAGCAGCCUGCUUUCCUUGGGGUUCUGUGUUACCAAACCUGAGUUGAUCUUCAAGUUGGAGCAAGGAGGAGAGCCAUGGAUAUUGGAAGAAGACCUAAAUCAGAGCCUUCCAGUUACCAUGAGAAGGGAUUGUCUAAUUAUGAACAACCAGGAAAACAAAGGCAAAAAUUGAAAUCAGGAUGUUAUAAAAUACAACAGGAUAUCAACUCCCAAAAGUGUUGAAUUAAGAAAAGCACUUAAUUCAAGUUCAAGCCAUAUGACAAAACUGAAGGGAAACUAUUCAGGAAUGAAACCUGUGGAAUGCAAUAUAUUUAAAAAUGUGCAUCUGCCCAGUGGAGCUGAUGAACUUGAAGCUGGAGGGAAAUUUGAUGCCAUUAAAGUACCUGGGAUCUCUCUCCAGUGCUGGGACCAUCUUAGUCCGCAUCACAAGAUUCCGUCUGUGACGCAGACAUUGGAACAUAAUGAAGAGAAAGCCUUCAAUAGUAUGGAGAAAUUUUGUACAUCUGAGAGGGUUCAUAUGCUAGAGACCUGUAAUAAAUCGUCUGUCACUGUUGGAAAGGCAACUCAAAUAGAAAAAAAUUCCAUAAAAAUUCUAACCUCAGUAAGCACCAACACACCCACAAAAGAGAAAAACUUUGUGAGCAUAUUAGGUCUGUAGCAUCUGUCACUUACCAAUCACAUCUUGCAAUAAAUCAGAGACAACAAAUAGGGACAAAAUCCUAUGCUUGUAAACUUUAUGUAAAAUCAUUAAGUUGUAAAUCCUGCCAUUCCAUCCAUCACAGUGCUCACAUACAAGAAAACUUGCGUGUGAGUAAUGAAUGUGUCAAAACCACUUACCAGAAGUCAGAUCUCAUUAGACAUCAGAAAAUUCACAGGCAGAAUAAACCUAAUAAAUGUAAUGAGUGUGGAAAAGCCUUUCUCCAAAAAUCAGACCUUGUAAGACAUCAGAGAAUUCACAGAAGAGAGAAACUGCAUGAAUGUAAUGACUGUGGAAAAACCUUUGGCUAUAAGUCACGCCUAAUGGCACAUCAGAGAAUUCACACAGGAGAGAAACCUCAUGAAUGUACUGACUGUGGAAAAGCUUUUUCCCGGAAAUCACACCUCAUAGCACAUCAGAGAAUUCACACAGGAGAGAAACCUUAUAAAUGUAAUGACUGGAAAAGCCUUUAGCUGUAAGUCAUACCUCAUCACACAUCAGAGAAUUCACACAGGAGAGAAACCUUAUGAAUGUAAAGACUGUGGAAAAGCCUUUUCCCAGAGAUCAUACCUCAUAACACAUAAGAGAGUUCACACAGGCCGGUGAAUAGGCUAAUCCUCCACCUAGCAGUGCCAGCACACCGGGUUCUAGUCCUGAUUGGGGUGCCGGAUUCUGUCCCGGUUGCUCCUCUUCCAGGCCAGCUCUCUGCUGUGGCCUGGGAAGGCAGUGGAGGAUGGCCCAAGUGCUUGGGCCCUGCACCCCAUGGGAGACCAGGAGAAGCACCUGGCUCCUGCCUUCAGAUCAGCGUGGUGUGCUGGCCGCAGUGUGCCAGCCGUGGUGGCCAUUGGAGGGUGAACCAAUGGCAAAAGGAAGACCUUUCUCUCUGUCUCUCUCUCUCACUAUCCACUCUGCCUGUCAAAAAAAGAGAGAGAGAGAGAGUUCACACAAGAGAGAGACUCCAUGAAUGUAAUGACUGUGGAAAAGUGGCCAUAAGUCACACCU